CGAGAUGCGGCUGAGUGACAGGCAGGUCCCUGCCCACGUCGCACCUUGGUCCCCCGGCCCCGCCCAGCCCCGCCCAGCCCCGCCCACUCCCUCCGCUCCGCUCACUGGCAUGUCGGAGCCCGCGGGAUGGAGGCUCCACACCGGAGACGUCCCGGGCCGACCCAGACAGAAGCAGGCAUGAAGCUCCAGCCGCUGCGCGUCCCGCUGCUGCUGCUGCUGCUGCUGUGCUGGGGCGAGUACCGGGCCUCGCAGGCGCGGUUCGGCCGCCUGGACCGCUGGGUUCGGGCCGGCUUCCAGUACCUGAAGCUCCACCUGUGCCGCAGGGCGUCCCUGUCGGAGGCGGAGUGCAAGCGCCUGUCGCACCUCCACCUGAGCGCGGUGGCCGUGUACGCGUCCGAGUCCGGCGCGGACCGGGUCCUGGCCGUCCUGCCCGACUCCCAGUCCGCCGGGGCUCCGGAGCCGAGCCGGGACGCGCACGACGCGGUGCUGGUGCUGGACCCGAGUCCCGGGGAGACCUUCGGACACCCGCUCGGGCUCUUCUACGUCGACUUCAACGUCACCAAGAAGAGAUGUGGACACAUGGACGGCAUUUACCUGGGUGAGGAGUGUUUGACCCUGGCGAUGAAGACGCGCUGCGUGAACCAGCUGAAGCGGCGGCGUGGCCGCAGUGACCAUGCGCGGGUGCGCCGUUCGGGGAGGGCGGAGCGCGGUGGGGGGCUGUGUGAGACCCACUUCCUUCCACUGGUGGUGGGGGUGCGCGAUGGCAACCGCACGCAGCGCCUGCGCUGUGUUGACCAUCCUGACUUCGCCCGCUGCCCGCUGCCUCUGCCUCUCGCCAGUCCCAGCGUCCCCAUGUCCAGCUGUGAGCUCAACAAGAACACGCGCCGCUGCCACCAGCAGCCGCUGGCCACGCACCUGUCCUGCCGGCUCUACCAGACGUGUGACCACGCCGUCCUGCUGUCAGGUGGCUGGCAGCAGCAGAUCACAUUCCAGCGUCAUGUGCAGAACCUGCAGCUUUUUUACAAGAUGCUGAGGAACAAUGGCUUCCACAAGGACCACAUCAAAACCUUCUUCGCCGGGAACGGGCAGGUGGCAGCGAAGGAGACUGAGGGCGUGUACCCCGCCACAGAGAAGGAGUCCAUCAGGAACCACGUCUCCUACAUUUGCCGCAAGCAGCACUGCGCCGACUCGCUGGUGCUCUACCUCAACAGCCCCACGCGCAACGACGGCACCAUGCUGCUGUGGGACAGGAACGGCAACGGCGUGGCCGAACUGAAGGAGCGCUACUCCGUGGGCGAGCUGCUGUCCGACCUGGCCGGCUGCCGGGCGCGGCGGGUGCUGCUGUUCGUGGAGCAGAGCUACAGCGGCGCGCUGAGUAAGAGGCUGAGGGGCUCGGCGAAGCACCCCAACGUGCUGCUCCUCAGCGCCCUGCCCUGGGUGGCCGUGGCCGAGUCGUGGGCAUCGCUGCUGCCCACACAGUGUCUCAUAGACCAUCUCAGCAAGAACGCCGUCAUGCCUCACCUGAGGGACACGGCGGCAGGUCAGCUGAACGUCACCCUGGCCGGGGCGCCGUGUAACUCCACCCCCGCGCUGACGGAGGCUGAGAUGAGGCGAGAGUACAUGGGCUGCCAGAACCUCCCCACAGCCCUCUGGCACCAGAGCCAGCGCAGAACCCAGGAGCAGAGCGACUGAACACACACACACACACACGCAUGCACGUAUGUGCACACACACACACCCGUUCCCCAUCGUUACGAAACAUUUUCAUUUCUUCUCUUUAACCCAGCUGGGCGACAUCGUGGGAUUUCUCCAGCUCCACAGAGACAUUUCGAAGCUUCUAACAAUCCCAACACGAAGCUGCAAAGCAGCUCUGCUCAUUUGUACUUAUUGCCCAAAGGCCAGAAGAAUUUAGUACACACACACACACACACACACACACUGGAGAGAGGGAUGGCGAGUAUGUGUGAGCGAGCGUGAGUGCGCACUGUCCUCACUCUGAACCUCGCUGUUCCUGCUGAUGACGCUCCUGUGGGACUGGGGGACGUCAGCACUCCGCCGACACGCUGAUGCAGGCUGGGAAGGUUCAGCGAGAGGACAGCAGCGCCCGCGGACGACGGGGACGUUCCCUCGUGGGUCUAAAAACAGCUCACUGCUGCCAACGCCACUCCGCACACAUGACCCCGCCCACUCCUGGACAGCAGGGGCGUGGCAUUACCCACAAUGUCCAUCCAUCAUCACCACUGACCAAACCACUGUGAGACGAAAUUCCUAAAUUACCAACAUUAAUCUACAUCAGAAGAAGAGGGUUUUAUUGAGAAGGUGAGAGGUGAUCAGUAUGAGAGUGUGAACAAUAUUGCAAAAAAAAGAAUGAUAAGAAUAUUAAAACAGGGAAUGAUUGCCACACACACGUCAUAAUACACUAUUUUACCAUUCACACUCGCUCACCUUAUACUGCACCGAGCCACCGGUUACUAAACUGGCACCUACGAAGGAACCAUUCUGUCAGGCACAAAUAAUCAAAUCCAAUGCAAGAAGACCAGUUUCCAUACGAAUCGCUUUACGUUUGCCUCUGGGAACAAGGGCUUCUGUUGCGCCCACAUCUCCAGUAACGCUGUACAUAGGCCGCUUUUAUUCUGCGUGAUGCGCGGACCCGAUGAGAAGGAUUUUAGGAGUGUAAACUGCGCCUGAGCAGAUGUAAAUAUUCCGAAAUAAAUUAACUUUUGUACAUAGCUACGUUUGUAUU
ensembl:lncRNA uncharacterized LOC114797141